GAUGAACGCUGGCGGCGUGCCUAAUACAUGCAAGUCGAGCGAACGGACGAGAAGCUUGCUUCUCUGAUGUUAGCGGCGGACGGGUGAGUAACACGUGGAUAACCUACCUAUAAGACUGGGAUAACUUCGGGAAACCGGAGCUAAUACCGGAUAAUAUUUUGAACCGCAUGGUUCAAAAGUGAAAGACGGUCUUGCUGUCACUUAUAGAUGGAUCCGCGCUGCAUUAGCUAGUUGGUAAGGUACCGGCUUCCCAAGGCGGCGAUGGAUAGCCGACCUGGGGGGGGGAACGGGCACAGUGGAAGUGGGAGGCGGUACAGGGUCCUAGGGGAGGCAGCGGGAGGGAAGGGUGGGAGAUGGGGGGAAGCCUGAAGGAGGGACGCCGGGUGGGUGAUGAAGGGCUGCGGGUGGUAAGACGGUGUUAUUAGGGAAGAACAUAUGUGUAAGGAACGGUGCACAUCGUGACGGUACCUAGUCAGAAAGCCACGGCUAACUACGUG
rnacentral:rRNA from 1 species